CCCUUAACUAUUAAAAGUUUCGUUUUGGUCAUUUAACUUACUUUUUGGUUUCGUUUUGAUUCCUUAACUCUUCCUCCGUCAACCACUUUAGUCCUUUAUGUUAGGAUGAAUGUAUUAGAGUUAAGGAACCAAAAUGAAACCAAAAAAUAAGUUAAGGGACCAAAACGAAAUCAAAAAAUAAGUUAAGGGACCAAAAUGAAACUUUUAAUAGUUAAGGGACCAAAAGAAAACCCAAAAAUAAGUUAUGGGACCGAAAAGAAACUUUUAAUAGUUAAGGAA
rnacentral:pre_miRNA from 1 species